UACGUAGGGGGCAAGCGUUGUCCGGAUUUAUUGGGCGUAAAGAGCGUGUAGGCGGCUUGGUAGGUCCGCUGUGAAAACUGGAGGCUCAACCUUCAGAGGUCGACCGAAACCAUCUGGCUAGAGUCCGGGAGAGGAGAGUGGAAUUCCUGGUGUAGCGGUGAAAUGCGCAGAUAUCAGGAAGAACACCCGUGGCGAAAGCGGCUCUCUGGAACGGUACUGACGCUGAGACGCGAAAGCGUGGGGAGCGAACAGG
rnacentral:rRNA from 1 species